AUGCAUUGCAGCGCUAAUACCAGAAGGCUACUGCUGGCAGAGGGGAAAAAAAUAACAAAAUUUCCCUGCUUUUUUAAAGAAGCUGUAAAAAGGAACUUGAAGCCACAUCCAGGCGCGUUAGCUUCCUGUGUUCUGUUUCUGAGAUACAUUCUUCAGGCUUUUGGUGGAAUGGCUGGGAGAGGUGUUUGGUAUUGACAUUCAAAUGAAAGAAUCAGAUAUCUCUCCAGGCUACAGAAUUUCUUUAUCUGACAUUGCCACAACAAGCAGAUCAGAGGUAUUUGUGGUAUCCCUCUUGGUUCUUUUAUAUUCUAACUGCUAAAUGAAAGGAGCAACAACUAAAACUUAUCUUUGAAAAGGAGAAGUCCAUUAUUGGGGUCUCUGAAGCUUUGACGAGUGAGCACACUGUACUUGGGUAAAGUGCCCUAAUAGGUGGAAGGAAGCAAAGACAGCCUUAUCAAUUUCCCUGUGCAGAAGCAGAACUAUUGUCGUCUUUAUUAAAAAUAUGCCUCUGAGGGGAUCCCUGGGUGGCGCAGCGGUUUGGCGCCUGCCUUUGGCCCAGGGCGCGAUCCUGGAGACCCGGGAUCGAAUCCCACGUCGGGCUCCCGGUGCAUGGAGCCUGCUUCUCCCUCUGCCUGUGUCUCUGCCUCUCUCUCUCUCUCUGUGACUAUCAUAAAUAAAUAAAAAAAAAAAAUUAAAAAAAAAUAUGCCUCUGAGCAGGUGGUCCUGUUCUGAAUACCUCCAAGAAUCUGGGAGUUUCACGUGGCCCUUACUAAAACAGCUUAGGCUGUCUUGAGAGAUGUGAACGGAGAUCAAAUUGCUAUGCUGGGAGUGCUCAGUGUGGUGGACAGAUUUAUUCUCAGAUUUUUAAAACUUGAAACUUUGGCAAUUAUAUUAAUAAAGAUAAGUAAGCUGGUUGACAUCAACACAUGCAUUCUGUUUGUUCUUUGUACAUCCGUGUACCUCCCAGAGAGGGCUGUGACCCAGAUUCCAUAAGCAUUCAAGACUUUCAUUAGAUUAGAAUGACAUAUACUUAUCAUUAGAGCGUACUAAUUAAAGCAGAAAGUGACAUUUCAAAGUAAUGAUGUUCCCUAGUGUCUCAAUGUAAAAUACUCCCUAGUCUAUUUUUAAUGACCUAGUAUGCUAUGUAUUUUUAAAAUAUUAUUUUGUUAUGAACUUAUGUUUUCAUUAUUGUCAAUGGUGGUGAUGGCUAACAAGGUAGGGCAUUCUUCUAGAUGAAUAAGGAAGAAGACAUUGAAACCUACCAGAGGCUUUGGACUUUGAUUGCAGUCACAUACUGGGAGAAUCCAUGCAUACUUUAAUUUAUCCAGCACUUUGUACACUUUCUACUGCUCAAA
rnacentral:lncRNA from 1 species